rnacentral:rRNA from 1 species
UGCAAGUCGAACGGUAACAGGUCUUCGGAUGCUGACGAGUGGCGAACGGGUGAGUAAUACAUCGGAACGUGCCCGAUCGUGGGGGAUAACGAAGCGAAAGCUUUGCUAAUACCGCAUACGAUCUACGGAUGAAAGCAGGGGACCACAAGGCCUUGCGCGAACGGAGCGGCCGAUGGCAGAUUAGGUAGUUGGUGGGAUAAAAGCUUACCAAGCCGACGAUCUGUAGCUGGUCUGAGAGGACGACCAGCCACACUGGGACUGAGACACGGCCCAGACUCCUACGGGAGGCAGCAGUGGGGAAUUUUGGACAAUGGGCGAAAGCCUGAUCCAGCCAUGCCGCGUGCAGGAUGAAGGCCUUCGGGUUGUAAACUGCUUUUGUACGGAACGAAAAGACUCUGGUUAAUACCUGGGGUCCAUGACGGUACCGUAAGAAUAAGCACCGGCUAACUACGUGCCAGCAGCCGCGGUAAUACGUAGGGUGCAAGCGUUAAUCGGAAUUACUGGGCGUAAAGCGUGCGCAGGCGGUUAUAUAAGACAGAUGUGAAAUCCCCGGGCUCAACCUGGGAACUGCAUUUGUGACUGUAUAGCUAGAGUACGGCAGAGGGGGAUGGAAUCCCGCGUGUAGCAGUGAAAUGCGUAGAUAUGCGGAGGAACACCGAUGGCGAA